CAGGUGGAGAGUGACCAUCUCUCCAAGACCAGGAGGUGCAUGCAAUCCACAACAUGUAUCUGUUGUUACAGGGGAGAGAGCAGCCAUCCCAGAGAGCCUCCACCCCGUGCAGGGAUGGGGCAGCUCAUUCACUGGAUUUGACUUUUGUGGAAUUUUCACUUUCAAGUUAUUCCUGACUUUAUGGAAGACGUAAAACACGAGUGAGUGAGAAGCUGCUCAAAAGGAGUGACACUUUCAUGAGGGCUAUAACUACGACAAAGGCAGACCAUUUUUUAAAGUGACACACAUAAAUGUGUCGUAUCAGCUGUUUUGUGGGAUUAGCCACACGGCUUACGGAGCCCUGUAACCUUUCCCUGAGUGUAGUCAGCAGAGGAAGGGGCAAGAAAUGUCUUAAUCCCGAUUAGCUAAGGAUUGGUGUAAACCCUGACUGCUUGCAAAAUUUCAAACUGCUGCAACUCUGCACGAUCUCGUUCAUGCCAUGCCCUCGCUGAGCCUCACAAAGGUUUUCCCACUGGUAAAAUGGGCUCUGUCCCUACAGUCCCUCUGCUUUUAGCCGAUGCCCUCUGGGAAGCCCCUGCACAGCCCUCACUCAGUGGUCACUGAAACAGCUCCAAGUUAAGUCAAGGUGUGUGAUGGCUUGGAGCAACGUGAAAGGAGGAGCAGGUUGUAGAGAGUGAGCUUUCUUGCUUGCAAUUUUACGGUUAAUGUGGAAGAUUAAGUUUCUGUUUUAGUACUCCAUUCUAUUCUAUCCUAUUCUAUUCUAUUCUAUUCUAUUCUAUUCUAUUCUAUUCUAAUCUAUUCUAUUCUAUUCUAUUCUAUUCUAUUCUAUUCUAGUUUCAUUUACAGCUUAGCUGGACAUCUGAGCUGAGAGUAAUGUGGAAACAUUUAUUCUGAGGGACUUUCCCCUUAAAGGCAAGCCUGUGGCAUUAAAGGUCUUGCAGGCUGUGCAGAGGGCUGGCAGCAGUUUCUGAGCAACAGCCAAAAAUAUGUUCUUGCAGCAGCAUUUCCACACUGAUGGCACUACAACAGAGUCAGCUCCACCUCGGACGGAGUCGGUGAAACCAUGCUUUGGCAGAACUCUGAACUCCAACUGCAUAGAUGCAGGGACAGCCAUCCUUUUUGCUGCCUUAUUGUUCUUUGCCCAUGGCAGUGAUAUGAAUUAUGUCCAUAUGGAAAUGCACUGAAGAAUUCUUGUCACAGCCAUGAGGGUCUAGUUUCAUGGAUUCCAUUUGUCAUUGUUACAUCACUUUGUGGUUGUUGUUGUUGGAAGGGAUGAUGAUGGAGGCAAGGCUAAUUUUCAGUAAAUUUCAAAAGGGUAAGCAUUCCUUUGGCUCCUGAGGGCAAACCAGAAAGGGAUCAGGACAUCCAAAAUGACAGGAAGACAUGGUGCUGCGUGGAGGCAGUAACUUGCACACACUUUGCUUUACACAGUUCUUCCCCACGAGGACGACCAGUUGUGGGACCACAGAAGUCUCCCUGGUGCGGUGCUGUUGCUCUGCCUUGCCUCGGGCACUGUGGAAGGGGGAAGCAAAUUCUGAAAUGCACAGGAAAAUUAUAUAAAAUGGAGAAGAGAUGGGCACAGAAAGAAGUUGGCAAGAAGGAGAGGAUGGUGGUGUUUUUGCUAACAAGAUGAGUUUUCAAGGCUGUCUGCUGAGUGGCAUCAAAGAAGAGUGUGGAAUUUUGAAAAUGUCCCUGUGACCCAGAGAACGUGUUCCUGCCACAUCAGUGCAUUUGUGGCACUGUCAGUGCUUGCAGAAAUCUCAGUGAGGCUGCAUCCUUCUACUUAUUUCAAAAUAACCCAUCAGAAAUAAUUUGGUGCCUUGAAAUCUUUUACUCACAGGAAAAUGUAUUCUGCAAAGCACUCACUGUUACUUCUUUUCUCACUGUUUCAAGCAUGAACAGAAUUAUCUGCCCCCUUUGUACAUAGUUCUUAACAAAAAAACAAAUCCUGUUCUCAGACUUGCAGACCAGUUUUAGUGGCAGUUCUCAUGAUGGUCAGACAGGGAACACUCAUGGCACUGUGCUCACUGCUGUCAGCCACUGUUUGCCAUCCCCAGUUCUGGAGGUCUCCAAGGAGAGGGGAGCAGCAGAGCCACGUCCCCGUUGCCUGGCUCAGCGCAGCAGCUCUCAUGAGCUUGCGCCUCCUGCCCAGUGUUGGCUUUGCCAAGCCUGACCCUGCUGCCUCUCUGGAUCUGCUCCUUGGGAUUGUACCUUGGGUUUAGGAGUUGUUAGAAACAGCUGAGAACUCCUGGCUUGGUAAUGCAUCUUCUGGUUUGAGUGUGUUCACUGGGCCGCACAUCCUAGCUGCUAGGUAUGAAAAAGAGCAUCAGACAUCAAGCAAAAUUUAUCCAGAUUUCACUUGUAUUUCCAUCUCACAUCUGAUCCAGGAAGUUUCCUUGCAUUCUUGGGCAAAGUAUGGCUGAAGUCCUGAAUAAGAUCAAUUGGCUCAAGGGACCUUACUGGCAACAAAAUUAAAAAGGGAUUUCCUUCCCUGAUUUUGAGGACCACAGAAAGGAUGAGCCUAGAAACAGAAAUUACAAGCUACAAAUCUUAGGGCCAGCCUCAAGAGAACGUCAGGUACAUUAACACAGCUUGCUAGAGAUGAAAAUCCAGCUUGAUUGCAUCCAAAUAGGGACUCAAAAUCUUGCUGACAGACCAUACCUUUAGAAGCCCCAAGUACCAGCAGCAGUGCUCUGACAACUCAGUGCACCAGUUGGAGCUGUGCAGCUCCUCUCCUUGCAAUGUAUGUCCAGAUCCUGCAGGUCGUUCUGUAUGCUCCUCAUUGUGUCAUAGGAGUAAUUAUUUCGUGUUGGUUUCUGCUGCCAUCCAUGGUAUAUAUGGUUUUCCUUUUCCUUAUGGAAAAAGAAUUCCUUCUGAGGAAGUGUGUCUUAACUUCUAAUGUAUGCAAAAUUUCAGAUGCAUAGCACUGUGAAUAGUGCCAGUCUGCUCAUCUUACUCCUGCUAACAUUAGUAAAUCUAUUCAUGCAGGUAAACAAGAUCAUUUUAAGUGGGUCAAAUAUUUUUUGUCGAAAAGAAAAUGAAGAUAUUCAGAGGCCUCUCAGAUUGACAUGAGGUCUCGAGCGAUCAGUCCCUCCCUCGCUGCUUGCAGGUCACACAGGAGGGCAGUGGGGGAUACUGAUGAGUGCAGUGUUCCUUCAAGGCUCAGUUGGAAAACUUCCUCUCUGAAAACUGAGGGAACUCAUGCUUGACGAAAUGCCCUAGCAGCCAGGGAAGCUCAGCCAAACUGCUGCAUCUGCUGUCUGGAGAACACAAGAAGAACACGUGUGUGUUUGGCAAGCUGAAAGGUGAGUGACAAGAAUUACCAGCAAGCGUAGGAGCCUGAGAACACUCCUAAUUGUGUGGAGCUAGGAUCAAAUUUGGGAAAGACUACCUAUACAAAACAUACACAGCUGAGAGAAAAAUCUGGACGGAAAAAAAUCCUGGCAAGGGUAACAUACAGCAACACAUACGUAUGGACAAAAAGCUGAACAUCAAACAGCAGUGUGCUCUUGCAGCCCAGAAGGCCAACUGCACUUUGGGCAGCAUCAACAGAGCAAUGGCAGCAGGGAGAGGGAGGGGAUUGUUCCCCUCUGCUCUGUCCUCAUGAGGCCCCACCUGCAGCACUAUGUCCUGAACUGGGACCCCAGUUCAAGAAAGAUGUGGAGCUGUUGGACUGGGUCCAGAGUAGGGCACAAAGAUGAUCAGAGGACUGGAGCACCUCUCCUGUGAAGAAAGGCUGAGAGAAUUGGGCUUGUUCUGUCUGAGAAGAGAAGGUUGUGGGGAGACCUCAUUUUGACUUUCAGCACCUAAAGGGAGCUUACAAACAGGAGGGAGACUGACUUUUUUACAUGGUCUGAUAGUGACAGGACAAGGGGGAAUGGUUUUAAACUAAAAGAGGGGAUAUUUAGAUUAGAUAUUAGGAGGAAACUACUUACUCAGAGGGUGGUGAGGCACAAAUACAGGCUGCCCAAAGCAGCUGAGGAUGCCCCAUCCUUGGAGGCAUUCAAGGCCAGGCUGGAGGGGCCCUGGGCAGCCUGAGCUGGUGGGCUGUAACCCUGCCUGCGGGAGGUGGUCUCUAAUGUCCCUUCCAAUCCAAGCCAUUCUGUGACUCUGUGAUUCCACUCCAGAAAAGACUACCUCUGUUCUGUAACCACUAGUAACAGCAUGAUACAGAUUGCUUUAACUUUCAUCAGAAGGCCUGGAUGGCACACACAACACUUCAUCUCAUUCCAGCACUUGGACUGCUGCAUUUUUAAGUUGAUGAUAACUUAUCACUGUUGAUUAGUUCACUCUUCUGGGAACAGAUGCCUCCUGUUUGUUCAUAAAGGAAAACUUCAUGCCUCUUCACCAAUCUAAAGAAACUCAUAGUGAGAAAAGAUAAAUUUCACAGGGGCCGAACCCUGAGCCACUGGCUGAUCCUGCAGGUUUUCAUGAUCAUCUAUGGUACUUGGACAACUAGAAUGUGAAUGAUCAACACACAAUUAAUCUCUACUGCAUAACAAGUCCAAGUUGUUUCUAACUUGGGCUGAGCUUAGGCCUAUUUCCUGAUAGUAGGAAGUCCAUGUUCUGUUGCAGGUACUUAAAGCUUUUGAAUCUUCUUGCUGUUUACUAGUUAAUACAGCGUAUGCAAGCAGGUCACUGGACUCCACAGUAACGCUCAUAUUUGAAUAUUCUCUUUGAUAGUCCUUAUUCAGCUGGUAAGAUAUCUAGUUCACAGACAUUUUCUUUUAGUCUCUGGUCAUCCACUCUAGGUUUUCAUAGAGGUUCAAUACCAUUCUAGCAGUGGACUGAUAAAAGGCUAUAUCUGCAAAACUGUGCUUAUAGCAUAUUGCUAGAUACUCCUAAAUCAAGACGUUUUUUUGUUGUUGUUACUUCUUUUUACUUUUGAUCUUUCUAAAACAACCAAAGUUCAGUGUUACUUAUUUGUGAUACCCUUAUGUAGUGCUUUGAGCCACUGUUUCCAUUAAUUUUCCAUGCACCAGAUCACCUCACAUGCCUCUGUAGAAGCUAUGUCAGUCAAAACAAUGAGCCGGUAUAUACUCAUUUUUUAACCUUUUCUUUGUUUAAAUGACUUAGCUUGAGUAUGAGAUGUAUUCUGUAAAUAUUCACUGUAUAAACCAGGCUAAUCCAAGACCAGAUCUGAUUUCUGCUGCAGCUAUUUUGAUCCAGCAAAUAAUUCAGCAAACAUAGUUGAGAGGCGACUGCUCUGUGUGCUAAAGCAGACAUGUCUUUCCUCCCACCACCUCUAGGCUUUUAAUAAUUAUGAAUCAUUCCUCCAGCUGCAUAUCAGUGUUUCUUUCCACUGGACAGGAACAGCGAUAGCUCUGAACUAUGCAGCAAUGAGAAAGGUACAAAGAUUCGAGUACCAAACGGACAGUGCUGCCUGAAGGUCCUAUUUAUACAGACAGUUCUACUACACAGAGGCUGCUGGAACUCUAGUACUUCUAUAGCACAGUGGGAACAAGGGGUCCCAUCAUCUGUCACUGUGCUCAUUUUCCUUUCGUCCCGUGCCUGCCCUGCGCACAGCCAUUCCUCCCCUAUGCAGCUCAGACCAAAAUGAAAUCUUGACUGCUUCUUUCCUCCUACUGCAAUGGCUCGGUGCUCCUGCUGGACAGCUACAGAUUGCUAACUGUUCCUGGCACCGGAUGCCUCCGCAUGGACGUGAAGCCAAGAAGCCAAGAGAGAAACCGUAUUGCCAAGUCCAAGCACUCUGAAAUUGCAGUAACCUUUUCCCUACACAAAAAGUGGGUUAUUAUUUGUAUUUAUCCUUUGUUGCUUCGUGUUUUCAGCAAACAUAUUUCAAACUCUUCUCUAUGGUCAUGAUUUUAUUCUCGAUGGAAGUUGAAAUUCUUGCAUACCCAUACAAUUCCUGCACCUGAUGCUUUAAGAAAAAACACCGAUGACUGCAGGAGUUGGCAGCAGAGAGGGAAGAGGAAGAGGAGACGGAGGAGGAAAUAAUCUCAUUCUCUCACCUGCAGGAGCGGAAUCUGAUCCCCUGCUGAUGUCUGGUGAUAGUGCAUCGGAGAGGGAAAGGAAAUGGGAGAACCAGAGGAGAGAAGAGGUAGCCCAUAGGAAGACAUAAAGAGAAGGAAAUACUUUGGGUUAGUGGAGAAGGUCAUCAGGCUACACAGCCUUCAGACAUCUGCCCAAAUCAGUUUGAAACUCCCGACCACACGGUUACCUCACCGCUGAGUGUUUUUUGCGUUCCAAAAUGAGAGGUGGGGAAGGGUGUCCUUCCUGCUCCUGUUUAUCUGAGUCACAGGGAUAAAGCCUAAUUUUGUCUAUAUCCAACUGUCAGCAGUGCGGGAAACAACACAUGUGAAGGCAGAAAAGGAAACGUGGUGUAAGGCCAAUUGGAAGUGAGGGCUGUACCUGCCUUUUGUGCUCUGCUGCCUUUUCAUCUUACAGAACACAACGUGAGCUGUUACUCUAGUAAUCCAUGAAGUACAUUGUGCAUGCGGAGCCACGCAAGGAUACUAAUUGAAGGAUUAAAACCGAGUGUAGACAAAUGUUAAUGAAGUGAAGGAACUUACUGGACUUUUUACGUUCUGCCUGUGUGUACAAAGCAGCGUUAGCUCUGUGCAGUGCAAUGCUAAGACUAUCUACGCAUUUGAGCUGUGACAUCAGUUUUCUAUUUCUGCGUUAUUAUCACCAGUGAAAGUGGAAACACUGCAUAAAGUGUGGGUCCUCAUUCUGUCUGCAGUUCACUCUUGAACAGUGUGCCACUUCUUUUUGUUUUUUCAGUAGACUGGAGAGGAUGAAGUUUAUGUUUCUGUUUUCAAGUGUUGCUUCCUCCACGAGCAGGAAAUCCUCCCUCCCUCCAUAUGUUUUUAAAAUAGCUGACAGUGCCCCCAAUUAAUUGCGUAUCAAACUGAACUUCUUUUUCCUGGCCUACGUGACUGUCCUCCCCUCCUCAACAGCCAGCCUGUUUUCAUGCGCACGGUAGGAAUAUUAAAAACAUCCCCUACCUAGCAAAACAAGAACUCCUCUGGGAAGGUGCAUGUAGAUGAAAUGGCAGCAACUGAUGUGGCAGUCACAUCCCUCAUGUACUGAUGAGACAUCUUCAGCUAUUGCCAUCGCAAGAUAAGAACACAGAUAAAAUAAAUAGUUCUAUGCAGAACUACUGUUGACCUAUUUUUUUUACUGUUUCUUUCAUCAUCACUAAACUCCUUCAAACUUUAAACCAAGCCCUUUUCCUAGCUUAAAUCCCUUCCAAAAAUACAUUAAAAAAAAGCCUAUAUUCCCUAAGAAUAUAGCAGUCUGAAUGGCUCCUCUGGUUAUAUCCCCAUAACCCUUGUCCUUCCUUCUAAUCCUUCCUCCCUUUUUCUCUGUUAAUGAUUCACAUUUAUGGCACCCUUGUCCAGAUCUGUCCAAAUCUCUCUUAUCUCUCUUCCUAUAUCUCUACAGCUUUCUUUCUUUUUUUUUUUCUUUAGCGUGUGGGUUAUAUUUUGGGUUUUUUGGUGAUUCCUUUCC
ensembl:lncRNA